UACGAAGGGGGCUAGCGUUGUUCGGAAUCACUGGGCGUAAAGGGCGCGUAGGCGGCCGUUCAAGUCGGGGGUGAAAGCCUGUGGCUCAACCACAGAAUUGCCUUCGAUACUGGACGGCUCGAGACCGGAAGAGGUCAGUGGAACUGCGAGUGUAGAGGUGAAAUUCGUAGAUAUUCGCAAGAACACCAGUGGCGAAGGCGGCUGACUGGUCCGGUUCUGACGCUGAGGCGCGAAAGCGUGGGGGAGCAAACAGG
rnacentral:rRNA from 1 species